rnacentral:tRNA from 1 species
UCCCUGGAGGACCAGUGGUUAGGCCUUGGCGUUCUCGCUGCCGCGGCCCGGGUUCAAUUCCCGGCCAGGGAA